rnacentral:rRNA from 1 species
GACGAACGCUGGCGGCGUGCCUAACACAUGCAAGUCGAGCGAGUGAAUCUCCUUCGGGAGUGAAGCUAGCGGCGGACGGGUGAGUAACACGUGGGCAACCUGCCUCAUAGAGGGGAAUAGCCUUCCGAAAGGAAGAUUAAUACCGCAUACGAUUGUAGCUUCGCAUGAAGUAGCAAUUAAAUGAGCAAUCCGCUAUGAGAUGGGCCCGCGGCGCAUUAGCUAGUUGGUGAGGUAACGGCUCACCAAGGCGACGAUGCGUAGGCGACCUGCGAGGGUGAUCGGCCACAUUGGGACUGAGACACGGCCCAGACUCCUACGGGACGCAGCAGUGGGGAAUAUUGCACCAUGGGGGAAACCCUGAUGCAGCAACGCCGCGUGAGUGAUGAAGGUCUUCGGAUUGUAAAGCUCUGUCUUUGGGGACGAUAAUGACGGUACCCAAGGAGGAAGCCACGGCUAACUACGUGCCAGCAGCCGCCGUAAAAC